GGUAGCGCCGAAAUGGCGAAAACAAGGACUAGUUUCAUAACAUUCACACCAUCGUGGAGACUAAACCGUAAUUAUCCAGAAUUAACCGUCUCAUUCGCAAAUUAACUUAAAAGGGACUGGGGCACUUGUCAGGAAAGAAGGGAAAAUGAAUGGAGCAAAGUACAGAGAAGUCCUUGAGGAAAACUUGCUGCCCUCUGCAAGAAAGCUGAAACUGGGAUGGAAGUUCACCUUUCAGCAUGACAACGACCCAAAGCACACCGCCAAAGCUACACUGGAGUGCCUAAGGAACAAAAAGGACAGAACCCCUGGGUUAAACUCUGUAGUACACAACCUUGUGUACUACCAUUCAUUAUUAUUUACUGUUGUCAAGUGAUUUAUGGAUUAUAAAUAAAACACCAUUGCAC